rnacentral:misc_RNA from 1 species
GGCUCGCUUGAAAUGAAUUAGCAGAUCCUUUUUGUAAUCGGUUCCACUCGACGUGAUAAGUAUUUCGCCGAGGACAUAUGAAAGUAUGGCCGAGAUAAGAAAGUUCUAGAUCCGCUUCUAAUUCUUAGAUAAAGCUUGCUUUACUAAACCCCAUUUUAUGAUCUGGCCUCAAAUCAGGUAGGACUACCCGCUGAACUUAA